AAUAGGAACUAGGCCUCUGGUUUGAACAGCACAUGUUCCAUUGCAUGCUCUAGUAGCUGACUCUGCUCCUCGUACAGAUAAAAUCUUACUGCCUCUAGCAUUUCACCACCUUGUUGAGAAUUACGGCUUUAUGCCGCAGUACCUGCAGACUAAGUACGAAAAGGACAGAAAAAGUGAGGUCAUAGACAGCAGGCAAAUGACUCUUUGCUGCUCCUUUUGUAUCUUAAAAUUUCUAUAAGGUAACAGAGAAAGUUCAAGCACCAGGACAAUGGAGGAAUAGAGGUCCAUUUUUUAAGUUUGAG